rnacentral:rRNA from 1 species
GAUGAACGCUGGCGGCGUGCUUAACACAUGCAAGUCGAGCGAAGCAUUUGCAGUUGAUUUCUUCGGAUUGAUUCUGUUUAUGACUGAGCGGCGACGGGUGAAGUAACGCGUGGGAACCUGCCUCAUACAGGGGGAUAACAGUUAGAAACGACUGCUAAUACCGCAUAAGCCCACGACCCGGCAUCGGGUUGAGGGAAAAGGAGCGAUCCGCUUUGAGAUGGCCUCGCGUCCGAUUAGCUAGUUGGUGAGGUAACGGCCCACCAAGGCGACGAUCGGUAGCCGGACUGAGAGGUUGAACGGCCACAUUGGGACUGAGACACGGCCCAG